AGAGCUUCCUCACUGCUGAAAACAGGUGAGGAGAAUUAGGUGAAGCCAAAGAGAAAGAAGGAAUCCAGGGGAAGUUUGUUUCUCAGAAAUGAACAGAAAGUUAGAUAUCCCUGAAUGACCCUGGUAUCCCUAGUAUCCAGAAGGCACCAGUGCUGGCUGCAACAAAACAUUUAAGAAGUUUUUCUCAACACCCCCUACCCUUUGUUUUUGCUCAGCUGGCAGAGUCUUCCCUUUAAAUUAUCAAUUGGAACAGAUUGGAACUUCUUGUUUGGAAAGUGAAGUUGCCCCCACCUGAGUCCCCAUGGAUUCUCAGUCCAGAACCAGAACUUAUAUUGGGUCUCAUAACUUCUGCUCCAUAGCUAUUAGGGGAGUAGUGAUUCCAUCAGUGAGCCAGUCUUAGGCUUCCACAAGUUCUGUGCAUGGCUGCUAUAUGUCACUCUGUCAACCAGUCAACUAUCUGCAGUCACCAUUUCAGGCAAGAAUUUCAGCCUUCUUCAGUCUCCCCUCAUGAACAGUGAAAUCCCACCCAGCUCGCUCCAGUUUUAUGAAGUUCAGUUGGUGAGCCUGUGGUACUCUGCUACUUAUGCAGGGCAUUUGGUCCCAGUUGACCCACAGAAAUUCAACUCUUGGAUGCCUCUGCUGGCUUCUGAUAUUGAAGGCUGGCAAUGUGCUAGCCUCUGCUUUGUUUAGCACUGUGGGUUUUCAUUUUACUUUUAUUCAAUUAGACUUUUAACUUCUUUACAAUAUGGCUAUUUUUAAAAAAUGCAAUAUAAUAUACAUACAGAAAAGCACACAUAUCAUAAUUGAACAGCUGGAUGUAUUGCCAUAAAAUGAACACACCUUCUCCAAAAUCAAGAAAUAGAGUAUUGUCAACACUCAGAAGCCCCCAGAGGCUCCCUCCCAGACAUUCCUCACCAAAGGUAACCAUUAUCCUGAUUUCUACCUGCACAGGUGUGGUUUGGUUCCUACUUAGGGCUAUUACAAAUAGUGCUGCUAUAUGCAUGCUAGUACAUGUCUACUAGUGAACAUAUGUGCACAUUUCUAUUAGGCAUAUUUUCA
rnacentral:lncRNA from 1 species